rnacentral:rRNA from 1 species
UACAGAGGGGGCAAGCGUUGUUCGGAAUCACUGGGCGUAAAGCGCACGUAGGCGGAUAUGUCAGUCAGGGGUGAAAUCCCGGGGCUCAACCUCGGAACUGCCCUUGAUACAGCAUAUCUUGAGUCCGAUAGAGGUGGGUGGAAUUCCUAGUGUAGAGGUGAAAUUCGUAGAUAUUAGGAAGAACACCGGUGGCGAAGGCGGCCCACUGGAUCGGUACUGACGCUGAGGUGCGAAAGCGUGGGGAGCAAACAGG